UACGAAGGGUGCAAACGUUGCUCGGAAUUACUGGGCGUAAAGCGCACGUAGGCGGAUUGUUAAGUCGGGGGUGAAAUCCUGGAGCUCAACUCCAGAACUGCCUUCGAUACUGGCGAUCUCGAGUUCGGGAGAGGUGAGUGGAACUGCGAGUGUAGAGGUGAAAUUCGUAGAUAUUCGCAAGAACACCAGUGGCGAAGGCGGCUCACUGGCCCGGUACUGACGCUGAGGUGCGAAAGCGUGGGGAGCAAACAGG
rnacentral:rRNA from 1 species